rnacentral:rRNA from 1 species
UGGGGAAUUUUGGACAAUGGGCGAAAGCCUGAUCCAGCAAUGCCGCGUGUGUGAAGAAGGCCUUCGGGUUGUAAAGCACUUUUGUCCGGAAAGAAAUCCUCUGGGUUAAUACCUCGGGGGGAUGACGGUACCGGAAGAAUAAGCACCGGCUAACUACGUGCCAGCAGCCGCGGUAAUACGUAGGGUGCAAGCGUUAAUCGGAAUUACUGGGCGUAAAGCGUGCGCAGGCGGUUUUUGUAAGACGGAUGUGAAAUCCCCGGGCUUAACCUGGGAACUGCAUUCGUGACUGCAAGGCUAGAGUAUGGCAGAGGGGGGUAGAAUUCCACGUGUAGCAGUGAAAUGCGUAGAGAUGUGGAGGAAUACCGAUGGCGAAGGCAGCCCCCUGGGCCAAUACUGACGCUCAUGCACGAAAGCGUGGGGAGCAAACAGGAUUAGAUACCCUGGUAGUCCACGCCCUAAAACGAUGUCAACUAGUUGUUGGGGAUUCAUUUCCUUAGUAACGUAGCUAACGCGUGAAGUUGACCGCCU